rnacentral:rRNA from 1 species
GAUGAACGCUGGCGGCGUGCCUAAUACAUGCAAGUCGAGCGAACAGAUAAGGAGCUUGCUCCUUUGACGUUAGCGGCGGACGGGUGAGUAACACGUGGAUAACCUACCUAUAAGACUGGGAUAACUUCGGGAAACCGGAGCUAAUACCGGAUAACAUAUUGAACCGCAUGGUUCAAUAGUGAAAGGCGGCUUUGCUGUCACUUAUAAAUGGAUCCGCGCCGUAUUAGCUAGUUGGUAAGGUAACGGCUUACCAAGGCAACGAUACGUAGCCGACCUGAGAGGGUGAUCGGCCACACUGGAACUGAGACACGGUCCAGACUCCUACGGGAGGCAGCAGUAGGGAAUCUUCCGCAAUGGGCGAAAGCCUGACGGAGCAACGCCGCGUGAGUGAUGAAGGUCUUCGGAUCGUAAAACUCUGUUAUCAGGGAAGAACAAAUGUGUAAGUAACUGUGCACAUCUUGACGGUACCUGAUCAGAAAGCCACGGCUAACUACGUG